rnacentral:lncRNA from 10 species
AACCUAUCCUAUAACACACAUAACAAAAGAUUGGUUUUAUGUGAAUUAAUUCAGGUUUAUAAGCAUAAGACAACAUUAUUAAUCUUUGACACUAUAUAAGUUCUGUUUUUCUUUAUAUCUGUAUUAAUUCCUGGAUGAAUUGUAUGAAAUUUUCUAUAAUUUCUCUAUCUUGUCAAUGUUUUAGUGUGUAUGUGUUUAUAUAUUACAUGAUUUAUCUAUGUGUAUAAAAUUAUAAAUAUACAUAUAUAUUUGUUUUUAAUCAAACCUUACCCUGGAGAAUAUUUUUUGUGAGAAUUGGUUAAUGGUAAGAACUUUUAGUGACAAAGACAAGUAGAUUUCUGUCAAUCUGGACUAGUUUGAUCAUAAAGUGCUUCCCUGAUGUGUAGAUUAAAGGAGAUUUAUGACUUGAUUUAUCUAUUUUCCACAAAAUUUAUAAACUUUUUUUAUGCUUUGUAUAUAUUUUUAACAUGCUAAAAAUUUAUAUGUCCAUAUUAUAUUUAUAGGAGGGAUGAAUCAAAAGGCUUUGUGGAAAAUAAAAAAAAAUGAUUAUAGUUAUGUAGAAUAAUAAUAAUUAUUUCAAGCUGUCUUCAAAAUACACAUUGAAUUUCACAACAUAUCCAUUAGCUAGUUAAUUGAUGCUGUGUCUUGUUUUAAAAGAAAUGGACAUGUAUAUGUACAUGUAUGUUGAGCAAGAUUGAAAAUUCACUAAGUCCCUUUAAAGUGCAAUUUCUAUAUUAUCACAACCUAAAAUUAAGGACUUACAAUUGUUAUUAAAGGUCAAAAAUGAUAAUAAAACCCAUAUGAAACUUAGGAUUGUUUUUUCUCAUUCUGCUAAGAAUGAUGAUGAUAUUUUAAUGAGAAUUGAAUUGGAUUUAUAUAUUUCUUUUGGCAAUAUGCUCAUUUUCACAAAAUUGAUUCUACCCAUCCAUGAGCAUGGGCUGUAUUUCCAUUUGUUUCUGUCAUCUAUGACUUUUUUGAGCAAAAUUUUGUAUUUUUCUUUGUAGAGACCUUUCACAUUCUUGGUUAGGUAUAUUUCUAAGGUUUUUUUUUUUUUUUUUUUUUUUUUGCAG